GAAGUCCCAGCCUUCUUCUGGCGCUCCAGAUGAACCUCAGCCGACAUGUUCUGACCUUGGAAUCACCACGGCGAGAGUUCACCACCACCGAAGAAGAAACGGCGGAACCUUUGAAGCCUGUCCUGUUCUGUGCUGCAGGGUGUGCGUUGGGCGAGCAACAGCAUGUGUGUGAGCGCGUGUGUCACAGCCAGGUCAUUCGGUCUCUCGCAGCCCGGCUGAUGGGCUGUGCUCCCGUCUGAACCCUCCUCCCGCCCUGCCCUGCUGCUGCGACUCAAAGGAGAAGUGUGCGUUCGUAUGAUAGUUUGUGUGCGUUGCUGCUGUUGCAGGCCGGGCCGGGCCUCCCCAGGGGCCGCAGCCGCGGUGCCUGUGCUAACAGCAGCAGUCAGCAGGACCUGGGCCUCCAUCUGGGCUUCCUCUGUCAGGAACCAGCUGUGUCUGCGGACGCCGGCCACUCGUUCCCCUCCUCGCAUCUUCGGGUCUCGGCGUUCCCUUUACCUUGUUCUCAAGAUCCCUCUGCCUGCAUGUGCUGUGGCCCAUAAUCAGUGCUGAUGGAUGGUCUCCAGUUAAUGCUAAAGGUUUGAAAAUAAGCCCUAAAGGUUAACAAAUCGUAAUAAAACAGUGUAAAAUGUAAUUCAUUGUAAAUAGCUUCCACCUGUGUUUCUAAAACUUAGGAAAAUAAAAACAGACUCUUCAUCUUC